AAUCAACGCUGGCGGCGUGCCUCAGACAUGCAAGUCGAACGAUUAAAGCUCUCUUCGGAGAGUGUAUAGAGUGGCGCACGGGUGAGUAACACGUAAGUAAUCUACCUUUGAGUGGGGAAUAACCCGGGGAAACCCGAGCUAAUACCGCAUAAUGCAGCGGCACCGCAAGGUGACAGUUGUUAAAGGAGCAAUCCGCUUAAAGAGGAGCUUGCGGCAGAUUAGCUAGNGGUAAGGUAAUGGCUUACCAAGGCUUCGAUCUGUAUCCGGCCUGAGAGGGCGGUCGGACACACUGACACUGAAUAACGGGUCAGACUCCUACGGGAGGCAGCAGUCGGGAAUUUUGGGCAAUGGGCGAAAGCCUGACCCAGCAACGCCGCGUGAAGGAUGAAGUAUUUCGGUAUGUAAACUUCGAAAGAAUGGGAAGAAUCAAUGACGGUACCAUUUAUAAGGUCCGGCUAACUACGUGCCA
rnacentral:rRNA from 1 species